GAGAAAUCCUUUCACUUAUUUGAGAAAUAUGAAAAAGUACAUAAAUAUUUUGAUACUACCAAGGGAUCAUGCAUUCAGAAAGAGCAUUAGGACGUUACCUGAAUCCUUAUGAAACGUGGUCUGGCAUAAGAGGUGAGGUAAGUGGUCACAUGACUAAAAAUGACUUCGGGCUCAAACUGAUGGUCUUUCUUUAGUGUGAUGGUAGCCAUUCCUGUCCUCCCCUCAUACCCUUCAAAU